ensembl:lncRNA
GUCUGUAACCAGUAACUAGUCUAGGGAGAGACCUGUUGUCUUUAGUUAAAUUUAUUUAAAUGAAUGUAAUACACAUUAUUAUAUCCUUCUGGCUAAAUCCCAAAUGGCACCCUAAAUGACCAGUUCAAAAGUAGUGCACUUUAUAGGGAACAGGGUGUCAUUUGGGCCAAAUAUAGGAUAAUUUGACUGUAGCCUUCUGCGUUCAGCAGAGACCACUUUUUCCUUGUUGGCACUUUAUCUGUUGGUUAGUAGGUGUUAUUAUAUUAUUGAACCUCUUGAGCCAUACGCUAUUGGGUUAGUCAGACUGAUCAGCAAGUCUCAAUAAGGUGUUGGGAUCAACAAGCCUCAAUAAGGUGUUGGGUUAGUCAGGCUGAUCGGCAAGUCUCAAUAAGGUGUUGGGAUCAACAAGUCUCAAUAAGGUGUUGGGUUAGUCAGGCUGAUCAACAAGUCUCAAUAAGGUGUUGGGUUAGUCAGGCUGAUCAGCAAGUCUCAAGUCUCAAACACCUUAGUAAUAUAUUCUGUCCAUGGACUCAUGCUACUCAUUUUCACUGGGGUUGUGUGUCCCAAAUGGCAACUCAUUCUACAUUUGACCAGGGCCCAUAUGGGGG